AUGGCCGGGAGCGCGAGGUCGGCGGCCGCGAAGCACGCGUACCGGAUGUUCACGCCGUCCCGGAGCGCGGCGUCGCGGGGCAGCCCCGGCAGCGCGGCGGACGAGUUCGACGAGUCGGACGUCUGGGGCUCGUUCGGCGGGGCGGACUCCGGCCCCGCGGACCUCGCGCGCGCCCGCACGAUCCCGUCGUCCGCCCGCGCCAGCGGCCGGAAGAAGCCGCUGGACCAUGCCCAUGCCGGCCCCGGCGCCGGCGCCGUGCCCGGGUCGCUGCCGAUGAGCAUCCCGGACUGGCAGAAGAUCCUGGGGGCCGAGUACAGGGACCACCACGCCGGCGAGUGGGAGCUCUACGACGACGACUACGGCAAGGUGGGCUCCGGCUGCCGGAGCGGCUCCGUGGUGCCGCCGCACGAGCUGGCGUGGCGCAGCCGCGCCGCGUCCCUGUCGGUGCACGAGGGGGUCGGCAGGACGCUCAAGGGGCGCGACCUCAGCCGCGUCCGCGACGCCGUCUGGAAGAGGACCGGCUUCGAGGACUGA
rnacentral:rRNA from 1 species